AGUGAACGCUGGCGGUAGGCCUAACACAUGCCAGUCGAACGGCAGCACAGUAAGAGCUUGCUCUUACGGGUGGCGAGUGGCGGACGGGUGAGGAAUACAUCGGAAUCUACUUUUUCUUGGGGGAUAACGUAGGGAAACUUACGCUAAUACCGCAUACGACCUACGGGUGAAAGCAGGGGAUCUUCGGACCUUGCGCGAUUGAAUGAGCCGAUGUCGGAUUAGCUAGUUGGCGGGGUAAAGGCCCACCAAGGCGACGAUCCGUAGCUGGUCUGAGAGGAUGAUCAGCCACACUGGAACUGAGACACGGUCCAGACUCCUACGGGAGGCAGCAGUGGGGAAUAUUGGACAAUGGGCGCAAGCCUGAUCCAGCAAUACCGCGUGGGUGAAGAAGGCCUUCGGGUUGUAAAGCCCUGUUGUUGGGAAAGAAAAGCAGCAGGUUAAUACCCCGCUGUUCUGACGGUACCCAAAGAAUAAGCACCGGCUAACUUCGUG
rnacentral:rRNA from 1 species